rnacentral:rRNA from 1 species
AGAACGAACGCUGGCGGCAGGCCUAACACAUGCAAGUCGAACGCGUGUAGCAAUACACGAGUGGCGCACGGGUGAGUAACGCGUGGGAACCUACCUAAAGGUACGGAAUAACCAACCGAAAGGAUGGCUAAUACCGUAUACACCCUCCGGGGGAAAGAUUUAUCGCCUUUAGACGGGCCCGCGUCGGAUUAGCUAGUUGGUGAGGUAAUGGCUCACCAAGGCGACGAUCCGUAGCUGGUCUGAGAGGAUGAUCAGCCACACUGGAACUGAGACACGGUCCAGACUCCUACGGGAGGCAGCAGUGGGGAAUAUUGGACAAUGGGGGCAACCCUGAUCCAGCCAUGCCGCGUGAGUGAUGAAGGUCUUAGGAUUGUAAAGCUCUUUCGGCGGGAAGAUGAUGACGGUACCCGCAGAAGAAGCCCCGGCUAACUUCGUGCCAGCAGCCGC